GACGAACGCUGGCGGCGUGCCUAAUACAUGCAAGUCGAGCGCAGGAAACUGACGGAACUCUUCGGAGGGAAGGCAGCGGAAUGAGCGGCGGACGGGUGAGUAACACGUAAGGAACCUGCCUCAAGGAUUGGGAUAACUCCGAGAAAUCGGAGCUAAUACCGGAUAGUUCAUCGGACCGCAUGGUCCGUUGAUGAAAGGCGCUCCGGCGUCACCUUGAGAUGGCCUUGCGGUGCAUUAGCUAGUUGGUGGGGUAACGGCCCACCAAGGCGACGAUGCAUAGCCGACCGGAGAGGGUGAUCGGCCACACUGGGACUGGGAAACGGCCCAGACUCCUACGGGAGGCAGCAGUAGGGAAUCUUCCACAAUGGACGAAAGUCUGAUGGAGCAACGCCGCGUGAGUGAUGAAGGUUUUCGGAUCGUAAAACUCUGUUGUAAGGGAAGAACACGUACGAGAGGGAAUGCUCGUACCUUGACGGUACCUUACGAGAAAGCCACGGCUAACUACGUGCCAGCAGCCGCCGUAA
rnacentral:rRNA from 1 species